rnacentral:rRNA from 1 species
AAUGAACGUUGGCGGCGUGGAUUAGGCAUGCAAGUCGAGCGAGGAAUUUACUUCGGUAAAUGGACAGCGGCGAAAGGGACAGUAAUGUGUAGGUACCUACCCUCUGAUCUGGGAUAGCUGCGGGAAACUGCAGGUAAUACCGGAUAAUGUCUUCGGACCAAAGGCGUGAUUCCGUCUGAGGAGGGGCCUGCAUCCUAUUAGCUUGUUGGUGAGGUAAUGGCUCACCAAGGCAACGAUGGGUAGCGGGUGUGAGAGCAUGACCCGCGUCAUUGGGACUGAGACACUGCCCAGACAUCUACGGAUGGCUGCAGUCGAGAAUCUUCGGCAAUGGGCGAAAGCCUGACCGAGCGACGCCGCGUGCGGGAUGAAGGCCCUCGGGUUGUAAACCGCUGUCGUUGGGGAGGAAAUGCAUGAGGGCUAUCCCUCUUGUUUGACCGAUCCAAGGAGGAAGUACGGGCUAAGUUCGUGCCAGCAGCCGCGGUAAGACGAACCGUACGAACGUUAUUCGGAAUUACUGGGCUUAAAGGGUGCGUAGGCUGCACGGAAAGUUGGGUGUGAAAGCCCUCAGCUCAACUGAGGAAUUGCAUCCAAAACUGCCGUGCUUGAGGGAGACAGAGGUGAGCGGAACUCAAGGUGGAGCGGUGAAAUGCGUUGAUAUCUUGAGGAACACCGGUGGCGAAGGCGGCUCACUGGGUCUCUUCUGACGCUGAGGCACGAAAGCUAAGGUAGCAAACGGG